rnacentral:lncRNA from 1 species
AGUAUCCGAAUUUAGGAUGGUGGAAUGGAGGAUGCUUGAGGAGUGGAGGGCAGGGUUUCUUGUAGAAUGGUGGGAGUGGUUUAUAAAUUGGAAUUGGUGGUGGAAGUGGCUUUACUAUUGGAGGGAUGUAAAUUGGUGGCUUUGGCUUGUAGAGUGGAACUGGUGGUGGAAGUGGCUUUACUAUUGGAGGGAUGUAAAUUGGCGGCUUUGGCUUGUAGAGUGGAACUGGUGGUGGAAGUGGCUUUACCACCGGAGGUUUGUAAAUUGGUGGCUUUGGCUUUGGUUUGUAGAUUGGAACUGGUGGUGGAAGUGGCUUUACCACCGGAGGUUUGUAAAUUGGUGGCUUUGGCUUUGGUUUGUAAAUUGUAACUGGUGGUGGAAGUGGCUUUACCAUCGGAGGUUUGUAACCUGCUGGCUUUGGCUUGUAGAUUGGAACAGUUGGCUUUGGUUUGUAGAUUGGAACAGGUGGUGGAAGUGGCUUUACCAUCGGAGGUUUGUAAACUGGUGGCUUUGGCUUUGGUUUGUAGAUUGGAACAGGUGGUGGAAGUGGCUUUACCACCGGAGGUUUGUAAAUUGGUGGCUUUGGCUUUGGUUUGUAGAUUGGAAUUGGAGGUGGAAGUGGCUUUACUGGAGGCUUCGGCUUGUAAAUGGGGACGGGAUGAGGAAGUGGCUUCGGCUUGUAAAUGGGGACAGGGUGAGGAUGUGGCUUUGG